rnacentral:rRNA from 1 species
AUGGAGCUGCUGUCCGAUUGCCCGGUGCACGCCUCCGUGCCGGACAAGUACGUGUUGCCCCCGGAGAAGCGUCCUUCGCUCCUCAACGACGAACCCAGCUCCGAUGUCGCCAUACCGGUCAUCGACCUCCACAGCGCCGACGAUUGCCGGCGCCAGCUGGUCGCCGCCGAGAUCAUCAAGGCCAGCAAGGGGUUCGGCAUCUUCCAGGUGGUGAACCACGGCGUGGCGGAGGACGUGGUGCAGGGGUUCCGCGAGGCGGCGGCGGGGUUCUUCGCGAUGCCGGCGGAGGACAAGCUGCCGUACCGCUCCGAUGACCUGAGCAAGCACUUCCGCGUGUCGUCCAGCACCCCAUAUGACCGGAACGGGGACCGCUAUUGGCUGGACUACCUCAAGAUCAACUGCCACCCCGUCACCGACGAGCACGUCCGAGAGUGGCCGGACAAGCCGGGAAGCUUCAGGAGCUCCCUCGCGGAGUACUCCACGGCGGUGCACGAGCUUGCACAGACGCUGCUCCGGCUCAUUGCAGAGGGGCUCGGCCUCGACGGUGGAUUCUUCGCCGGCGACCUCAGCGGCGGCAGCACCCAGAUGAACGUCAACUACUACCCGCCGUGCCCGGACCCGAGCCUCACGCUGGGCCUCCUCCCGCACUGCGACCGCCACCUCCUGACCGUGCUCUCUCAGGGCGACGUCGCCGGGCUGCAGGCGAGGCACGGCGGGCGGUGGCUCCUCGUGCGCCCCGUCCCCGGCGCCUUCGUGGUCAACCUGGGCCACCAGAUGGAGAUCAUCACCAACGGGCUCCUGGCUAGCGUGGAACACCGCGCCGUCACGAACACCGACGCGGUGAGGCUGUCGGUGGUGACCCUCAUCAUGCCCAAGAUGGAGUGCCGCAUCGGGCCAGCGCCGGAGAUGGUGAACGAGGCGACGGGACCCGCGAAGUUCAAGGAGUUCGAGUUCAGCGAGUUCAUCAAGGCCUACAGCGCCGCCGCCGCCAGCAGGGAGGACGUGCUCCACUACUUCAGGAUCCACCGCUAG